UCUCCGUAGGUGAACCUGCGGAGGGAUCAUUACAGAGUUCAUGCCCUACCGGGUAGAUCUCCCACCCUAUGUUAUUAUUACUUUUUUGCUUUGGCGGGCCGUUAGGCUCCGGCCCGACUACCGGCCCCGGCUGGUAAGCGCCCGCCAGAGGACCCAAAACCCUGAAUAUUAGUGUCGUCUGAGUACUAUAUAAUAGUUAAAACUUUCAACAACGGAUCUCUUGGUUCUG
rnacentral:misc_RNA from 1 species